CCUACGGGAGGCAGCAGUGAGGAAUAUUGGUCAAUGGACGAGAGUCUGAACCAGCCAAGUAGCGUGAAGGAUGACUGCCCUAUGAGUUGUACACUUCUUUUAUAUGGGGAUAAAACUUUCCACGUGUGUGAUUUUGUAUGUACCAUAUGAAUAAGGAUCGGCUAACUCCGUGCCAGCAGCCGCGGUAAUACGGAGGAUCCGAGCGUUAUCCGGAUUUAUUGGGUUUAAAGGGAGCGUAGAUGGGUUGUUAAGUCAGUUGUGAAAGUUUGCGGCUCAACCGUAAAAUUGCAGUUGAAACUGGCAGUCUUGAGUACAGUAGAGGUAGGCGGAAUUCGUGGUGUAGCGGUGAAAUGCUUAGAUAUCACGAAGAACCCCGAUUGCGAAGGCAGUUCACUGGACUGUAACUGACAUUGAGGCUCGAAAGUGUGGGUAUCAAACAGGAUUAGAUACCCGUGUAGUC
rnacentral:rRNA from 1 species